UACGGAGGGUGCAAGCGUUUUUCGGAAUCAUUGGGCGUAAAGCGCGUGUAGGCGGUCUUAUAAGUCUGGUGUGAAAGCCCGGGGCUCAACCCCGGAAGUGCACUGGAUACUGUUUGACUAGAGGACGGGAGAGGGAAGUGGAAUUCCAGGUGUAGGGGUGAAAUCCGUAGAUAUCUGGAGGAACAUCGGAAGCGAAGGCGGCUUCCUGGCCCGUAACUGACGCUGAGACGCGAAAGCGUGGGGAGCAAACAGG
rnacentral:rRNA from 1 species